rnacentral:rRNA from 1 species
GAGCUGCGACGGCCUAACACAUGCAAGUCGAGGGGUAACAUGAGUAGCUUGCUACUUGAUGACGACCGGCGCACGGGUGAGUAACGCGUAUGCAACCUUUCUUCAACAGGAGAAUAGCCCCCGGAAACGGGGAUUAAUGCUCCAUGAUGCUAUUUUAUUGCAUGAUAGAAUAGUUAAAGCUGAGGCGGUUGAAGGUGGGCAUGCGUGACAUUAGCUUGUUGGCGGGGUAACGGCCCACCAAGGCGACGAUGUCUAGGGGUUCUGAGAGGAAGGUCCCCCACACUGGUACUGAGACACGGACCAGACUCCUACGGGAGGCAGCAGUGAGGAAUAUUGGUCAAUGGACGCGAGUCUGAACCAGCCAUGUCGCGUGCAGGAAGACGGCCCUACGGGUUGUAAACUGCUUUUGUACGGGAAGAAAAUGUCUUACGUGUAAGACUUUGCCGGUACCGUACGAAUAAGCAUCGGCUAACUCCGUGCCAGCAGCCGCGGUAAUACGGAGGAUGCGAGCGUUAUCCGGAAUUAUUGGGUUUAAAGGGUGCGUAGGCGGAAUGGUAAGUCAGCGGUGAAAUACUGCAGCUCAACUGUAGUUGUGCCGUUGAUACCGUCCUUCUUGAGUAUAGAUGAGGUAGGCGGGAAUGAGUUAGUGUAGCGGGUGAAAUGCAUAGAUAUUACUCAGAACACCGAUUGCGAAGGCAGCUUACUAAACUAUAACUGACGCUGAAGCACGAAAGCGUGGGUAUCAAACAGGAUUAGAUACCCUGGUAGUCCACGCUGUAAACGAUGNAUUNACUGGNUGNUUGGUCGAAAGAGAUCAAGGGACUGCGCGAAAGCNUUAANUAUCCACCUGGGGAGUACGUCNGCNACGAUGAAACUCAAAGGAAUUGGACGGGGCC